UUUCUUUUGUCGCACUUUUAAUUCACUUUUAAUUCACUUCUAAUUUUGAUUGUUCAUUGGUUAAUUGUUCCAUUGUGGUUAAAGAAUGGUUGUUGGCGUGUGCUCCUUCCGGUUGCGUAUUUAUAAUUUUUUCACUAAUUUAUUUUUCACAAGUCCUGUCACGAUCGCCAUGUAGAAAUAGAAUCGGGAUAGAAUAGAAGCAGCGAAAACACUUCUGUUCUUUUCUUGGGUUGUAUUCGGAAUGAAUUCAAUUUAUUCUUCAUAAACUUAUUUAGCCUAAAGUACAUAAUGUUCUUGGUUGAGUUCUGUCGCUAAGGGCAGCGGCAGAACGGGAUCAUGUAGCAUGCCAUAUGUAUGUGUAUAUUUAUGUUUGUAAGAAUGUAUAUGAAGAAGGCAUAUACAUUGGAAUGCUCAUUCGGCCACUUGGAAUAUAUUGCCGACACUGCAGUUCUCACGCUGCAGACCAGACCACAUAUAAGGGGCUGAUCGUAUUACGGCUCUUGAGUGUGGCUAUGUUACGUAAACAUUGCGACAAAGUGUCCUUAUGUUUAUGAGCGUGAUACUCUACAUUAACUUUGGGCAUAUGACCACUUGACAUAUUGUAUACACUACAAUACAGUGGGCAUAUGCUUAUUUGGCAUACAACAUACUACAAUAUGAUAUAAUGUGCCCAGUGGGCCACUUUUGGUAAGCAGAACUGGCGCUGUGGGAUGAACCAAACGUAAUGUUACGGUGCCCAAAUUAACAACUCAUGCAGAAACCAUGAAAGGCGUUGGUUGCUUAAAACAGCAGGACGGUGAUCAUGGAAGUCGAAAUCCGCUAAGGAGUGUGUAACAACUCACCUGCCGAAGCAACUAGCCCUUAAAAUGGAUGGCGCUUAAGUUGUAUACCUAUACAUUACCGCUAAAGUAGAUGAUUUAUAUUACUUGUGAUAUAAAUUUUGAAACUUUAGUGAGUAGGAAGGUACAAUGGUAUGCGUAGAAGUGUUUGGCGUAAGCCUUCAUGGAGCUGCCAUUGGCACAGAUCUUGGUGGUAGUAGCAAAUAAUCGAAUGAGACCUUGGAGGACUGAAGUGGAGAAGGGUUUCGUGUGAACAGUGGUUGAUCACGAGUUAGUCGGUCCUAAGUUCAAGGCGAAAGCCGAAAAUUUUCAAGUAAAAAAUCAGUGAGUAAUAUUGUCAAAUCUUUUAUGAUUUUUAAAUACUUGAAUAAUUUUGAACGAAAGGGAAUACGGUUCCAAUUCCGUAACCUGUUGAGUAUCCGUUUGUUAUUAAAUAUGGGCCUCGUGCUCAUCCUGGCAACAGGAACGACCAUAAAGAAGCCGUCGAGAGAUAUCGGAAGAGUUUUCUUUUCUGUUUUAUAGCCGUACUACCAUGGAAGUCUUUCGCAGAGAGAUAUGGUAGAUGGGCUAGAAGAGCAUGACAUAUACUGUUGUGUCGAUAUUUUCUCCUCGGACCUUGAAAAUUUAUGGUGGGGACACGCAAACUUCUCAACAGGCCGUACCAAUAUCCGCAGCUGGUCUCCAAGGUGAAGAGUCUCUAGUCGAUAGAAUAAUGUAGGUAAGGGAAGUCGGCAAAUUAGAUCCGUAACUUCGGGAUAAGGAUUGGCUCUGAAGAUUGAGAUAGUCGGGCUUGAUUGGGAAACAAUAACAUGGUUUAUGUGCUCGUUCUGGGUAAAUAGAGUUUCUAUCAUUUAUGGUAGUUACUUGUUCCCCGGAUAGUUUAGUUACGUAGCCAAUUGUGGAACUUUCUUGCUAAAAUUUUUAAGAAUACUAAUUGGGUUGAACCAGUUAGUUCUUAUUAAUUAUAACGAUUAUCAAUUAACAAUCAAUUCAGAACUGGCACGGACUUGGGGAAUCCGACUGUCUAAUUAAAACAAAGCAUUGUGAUGGCCCUAGCGGGUGUUGACACAAUGUGAUUUCUGCCCAGUGCUCUGAAUGUCAAAGUGAAGAAAUUCAAGUAAGCGCGGGUCAACGGCGGGAGUAACUAUGACUCUCUAUAAGCAAAGCAUUUGACUCGGUGUCUCAUGCAGCAGUUAGCGCCACUCUAACUGCAUAUGGUGCCCCUAAAGAAUUCGUUGACUACGU
rfam:Drosophila persimilis strain MSH-3 cont1.015757, whole genome shotgun sequence.